rnacentral:rRNA from 1 species
UACAGAGGUGGCAAGCGUUGUUCGGAAUUACUGGGCGUAAAGGGCGCGUAGGCGGUUCGAUAAGUCCCGGGUGAAAUCCCUCGGCUCAACUGUGGAACUGCACGGGAAACUGACGGGCUUGAGUUCGGGAGAGGGAAGCGGAAUUCCGGGUGUAGCGGUGAAAUGCGUAGAUAUCCGGAGGAACACCGGUGGCGAAGGCGGGACUCUGGGCCGAUACUGACGCUGAGGAACGAAAGCGUGGGGAUCAAACAGG